AAAUACAGUAUAUGAAAAAAAAAUCUAAAUGCUGUCUGGUAUUGUUCAGGGGGCUGGACCAAAUGUGGAGGCGGGCCGAAUCCGGCCCGUGGGCCGUAGUUUGGAGACCACUGCUUUAGAGAGUUGAA